AACGGUCUAUACCUGCGGUACCUGCGGAGGGAUCAUUACCGAGUUUACAACUCCCAAACCCCAUGUGAACAUACCUGUUUCGUUCCCUCGGCGGUGUCCGGCAACGGCCCGCCAGAGGACCCAACAAACUCUUUUGAAUUUUUCAGUAUCUUCUGAGUGAAAAAAACAAUAAAUCAAAACUUUUAACAACGGAUCUCU
rnacentral:misc_RNA from 1 species